rnacentral:piRNA from 1 species
UGAAGCCAGAAUUUGCAAUCUUGAUGUUU